UACGUAGGGGGCGAGCGUUGUCCGGAAUUACUGGGCGUAAAGGGCACGUAGGCGGUUCGUCGUGUCGCCUGUGAAAUCCCAUGGCCCAACUGUGGGGGGUCAGGCGAAACUAGCGGACUUGAGGGAGGCAGAGGGAAGCGGAAUUCCCGGAGUAGUGGUGAAAUGCGUAGAUACCGGGAGGAACACCAGUGGCGAAGGCGGCUUCCUGGGCUUUUCCUGACGCUGAGGUGCGAAGGCGUGGGGAG
rnacentral:rRNA from 1 species